AAUAGAUACCCAGGUAGUCCACGCCGUAAACGACUGAGUGCUAAGUGUUAAGGAGGGUUUCCGCCCUUUAGGUGCUGCAGCUAACGCAUUAAGCACUCCGCCUGGGGAGUACGGCCGCAAGGCUGAAACUCAAAGGAAUUGACGGGGGCCCGCACAAGCGGUGGAGCAUGUGGUUUAAUUCGAAGCAACGCGAAGAACCUUACCAGGUCUUGACAUCCUCUGACAACCCUAGAGAUAGGGCUUUCCCCUUCGGGGGACAGAGUGACAGGUGGUGCAUGGUUGUCGUCAGCUCGUGUCGUGAGAUGUUGGGUUAAGUCCCGCAACGAGCGCAACCCUUGAUCUUAGUUGCCAGCAUUCAGUUGGGCACUCUAAGGUGACUGCCGGUGACAAACCGGAGGAAGGUGGGGAUGACGUCAAAUCAUCAUGCCCCUUAUGACCUGGGCUACACACGUGCUACAAUGGAUGGUACAAAGGGCUGCAAACCUGCGAAGGUAAGCGAAUCCCAUAAAGCCAUUCUCAGUUCGGAUUGC
rnacentral:rRNA from 1 species